CACGUAGGGUGCGAGCGUUGUCCGGAAUUAUUGGGCGUAAAGAGCUCGUAGGCGGUGUGUCACGUCGGCCGUGAAAACCUGCAGCUUAACUGUGGGCGUGCGGUCGAUACGGGCAUCACUGGAGUUCGGCAGGGGAGACUGGAAUUCCUGGUGUAGCGGUGAAAUGCGCAGAUAUCAGGAGGAACACCGGUGGCGAAGGCGGGUCUCUGGGCCGAUACUGACGCUGAGGAGCGAAAGCUAGGGGAGCGAACAGG
rnacentral:rRNA from 1 species